GCUCGUCUAGUUCAGUCGGUAGAGCACGAGACCCUUAAUCACAGGGUUGUGGGUUUGAGCCCCACGUUGCGUG
rnacentral:tRNA from 1 species